GACGAACGCUGGCGGCGUGGAUUAGGCAUGCAAGUCGAACGGUAUCAUCCUUUCGGGGGUGAGAGAGUGGCGAACUGGUGAGUAACACGUAGGUUAUCUACCCUCAAGACGGGGACAACCCAGGGAAACUUGGGCUAAUACCGGAUGUGAGCAACUUUUAGUUGUUUGAAAGGUGGCGUAAGCUGUCGCUUGGGGAUGAGCCUGCGUCCUAUUAGUUAGUUGGUGAGGUAACGGCUCACCUAGGCAAUGAUAGGUAGGCGGCCUUAACGGGUGGUCGCCCACACUGGGAUUGAGAUACGGCCCAGACUCCUACGGGAGGCAGCAGUCGAGAAUAGUCUACAAUGGCCGAAAGGCUGAUAGUGCGACGCCGCGUGAACGAAGAAGCCCUUCGGGGUGUAAAGUUCUUUUAUAUGUGAGCAGUGCUUUCUAUGUGAACAGCAUGGGGAGAGAGAUAUUAGCAUAUGAAUAAGCAACGGCUAACUCCGUGCCAGCAGCCGAC
rnacentral:rRNA from 1 species